AUGAUAUUUGCAGCACAUGUACUAAAACUAGAAUAAUAGAGAGAAGUUUGGCAUGCACCCUGUGAAUGGAUGACACACCAAUCUGUGAACUAUUCCAUCUUGUU